CACUAAAAUUAUCACAUCAACGAACAAACAAACUGAAACAAACAAAUGGAAAUACGCAAACUUCUUGUAUUUUAAAUUUACUUGCACACUGUGCAAAUUUAAUCUGCUGAAGCUUAUAUUCUAGACUGACCAAAAUUUUCGGCGGCAAAAAAGUAGAAAUGGGUCAAGGGACUACUCUACCAAGUCCUUGAGUGCUUGGAAGGCCUUGAGUGAAUUGUCCCAUAAGGUAAAACUGUAUGUUAUGCAGUAAAAUUUAACUAUGUGAAGCCCAAGAUAUGUCUUGUAUGAUUGGUUUUGAAUAACAUGUUCCUCAUUUUAACAUUGACACGAUAACAUCAUUAAUUUUAACACUAGAUAUAGUCAUAUUUGUCUAGUGACCAGCCACUUUCCAUGUUCAGUAUCAUUUCAAGUUACAAAACCUGGAAGAAACAUGAUACAGAUAAUAAUAAUCUUUUUAUUAGAUUACAUGCACGUGUUUGGGAAGAUAAAUUCAUCUAAUGUUCAGAAAAUUAAAAUAGAUUUAAACCUAACACUUGUUUAACAAUUAAUGAUGCAUUAUUCCCCUAGGUUUAGUCACCAACAAUUGGCUAAUGAAUCAAACAGAUUUCAUUUGAUUAAAUACAGCCAUUAUAGAUCUUUACAGAUGUCAUGUAGAAGAGUUGUUGAGAUAUACGUAAAUAGACGAAAAUCUUGUCAGCUAGACUGAAUUUAUCUUUUGGAAUCGUGAGUCCCAUCGCCAUCCCGUACUCUCAAAUACAAACAAUUGAAUUCA